rnacentral:rRNA from 2 species
UCAGAUUGAACGCUGGCGGCAUGGUUUAACACAUGCAAGUCGAACGAUGACUCUCUAGCUUGCUAGAGAUGAUUAGUGGCGGACGGGUGAGUAACAUUUAGGAAUCUACCUAGUAGUGGGGGAUAGCUCGGGGAAACUCGAAUUAAUACCGCAUACGACCUACGGGUGAAAGGGGGCGCAAGCUCUUGCUAUUAGAUGAGCCUAAAUCAGAUUAGCUAGUUGGUGGGGUAAAGGCCCACCAAGGCGACGAUCUGUAACUGGUCUGAGAGGAUGAUCAGUCACACCGGAACUGAGACACGGUCCGGACUCCUACGGGAGGCAGCAGUGGGGAAUAUUGGACAAUGGGGGCAACCCUGAUCCAGCCAUGCCGCGUGUGUGAAGAAGGCCUUUUGGUUGUAAAGCACUUUAAGCAGGGAGGAGAGGCUAAUGGUUAAUACACAUUAGAUUAGACGUUACCUGCAGAAUAAGCACCGGCUAACUCUGUGCCAGCAGCCGCGGUAAUACAGAGGGUGCGAGCGUUAAUCGGAAUUACUGGGCGUAAAGCGAGUGUAGGUGGCUCAUUAAGUCACAUGUGAAAUCCCCGGGCUUAACCUGGGAACUGCAUGUGAUACUGGUGGUGCUAGAAUAUGUGAGAGGGAAGUAGAAUUCCAGGUGUAGCGGUGAAAUGCGUAGAGAUCUGGAGGAAUACCGAUGGCGAAGGCAGCUUCCUGGCAUAAUAUUGACACUGAGAUUCGAAAGCGUGGGUAGCAAACAGGAUUAGAUACCCUGGUAGUCCACGCCGUAAACGAUGUCUACUAGCCGUUGGGGUCCUUGAGACUUUAGUGGCGCAGUUAACGCGAUAAGUAGACCGCCUGGAGACGCCGCCUUUGAG